UUUCUAUUCAGGUAUUAGUUAAUCUCUUUAGGAUUGGGAAGGUCUAGAAGAAAGAGAUCUGGCUAUGUUAAUAGAGAUUCUUUACAGACGCAAAUUUUCCCCCAUAAAGAACACCUUCGCAGGGCCAUUCCAAGAAACAUGUUUUGGGAACUAGGGGUUUGCCUGAGGACAGCAAAUGACUCAACUGCUGCAUAUGUGGGGCUCCUCUUGAGCAAGGAAAGAGUCCAAGAUAUUGCCUGUGCUUGGAAUUCAGUGAAAAAGUAAACUAUCAAGGAAGCCAUGGAGGAACUGUAGUCUCGCAUUAUGUUGGCAAAGGUACACUCAGCAGACAAAGUUGGCCUUGGAUAAAACCUGGAAAUGGCGAAGGAUGCAUCUCCUGCAUAUUGUAGCAACUUCAAUAUCAGUAAGAUAGAAGAGCAGGCUGAAGAAAUACAUUGUGUUCAAGAUGCAUAAAUAGACAAUGUUUGGAAAGUCAGUGGAAAAUCAAAGGACACAGAGAAAGGCAGAGAAAAAGAAAAAGGUGGAGUUUU